rnacentral:rRNA from 1 species
UACGUAGGCGGCAAGCGUUGUCCGGAAUCAUUGGGCGUAAAGCGCGUGUAGGCGGCUUGGUAAGUCCGCUCUGAAAGCCCGGGGCUCAACCCCGGGAGGCGGGUGGAUACUGUCAAGCUCGAGUCCGGAAGAGGCGAGUGGAAUUCCUGGUGUAGCGGUGAAAUGCGCAGAUAUCAGGAGGAACACUAAUGGCGAAGGCAGCUCGCUGGGACGUGACUGACGCUGAGACGCGAAAGCGUGGGGAGCAAACAGG